UAACUGGGCGUUAAGUUGCAGGGUAUAGACCCGAAACCCGGUGAUCUAGCCAUGGGCAGGUUGAAGGUUGGGUAACACUAACUGGAGGACCGAACCGACUAAUGUUGAAAAAUUAGCGGAUGACUUGUGGCUGGGGGUGAAAGGCCAAUCAAACCGGGAGAUAGCUGGUUCUCCCCGAAAGCUAUUUAGGUAGCGCCUCGUGAAUUCAUCUCCGGGGGUAGAGCACUGUUUCGGCAAGGGGGUCAUCCCGACUUACCAACCCGAUGCAAACUGCGAAUACCGGAGAAUGUUAUCACGGGAGACACACGGCGGGUGCUAACGUCCGUCGUGAAGAGGGAAACAACCCAGACCGCCAGCUAAGGUCCCAAAGUCAUGGUUAAGUGGGAAACGAUGUGGGAAGGCCCAGACAGCCAGGAUGUUGGCUUAGAAGCAGCCAUCAUUUAAAGAAAGCGUAAUAGCUCACUGGUCGAGUCGGCCUGCGCGGAAGAUGUAACGGGGCUAAACCAUGCACCGAAGCUGCGGCAGCGACACUAUGUGUUGUUGGGUAGGGGAGCGUUCUGU
rnacentral:rRNA from 1 species